GGAGAGGUACUGAAGUGGUCAUAACAGGCCGCUCUCGAAAAGCGGUUGGGACGUAAGUCUCACGUGGGUUCGAAUCCCACCCUCUCCG
rnacentral:tRNA from 1 species